CAUCCAAUGUUGCAAUCCCCUUCAGGAGGCACUUGAAGCCCAGUGCCCGAUAUGCACAGGAACAUUUCCAGUGUCAGAAGUAGAACUGCCAUGCCAGCCUUUGUGGAGAGAGGCUCUCCAAGGAAGGUGAUUUUCAAGGGACAUACAGGGCUUCCUGUUUUUGACGUUUCCAC